rnacentral:rRNA from 1 species
ACCCGCUGAACUUAAGCAUAUCAAUAAGCGGAGGAAAAGAAACCAACAGGGAUUGCCUUAGUAACGGCGAGUGAAGCGGCAAAAGCUCAAAUUUGAAAUCGGCCCCCAGGUCGAGUUGUAAUUUGUAGAUUGUAUCUUGAGAGCGGAUUAAAGUCUGUUGGAACACAGCGCCUUAGAGGGUGACAGCCCCGUAAAAUCUAUUCUCAUUGUAAGAUACUUUCGAAGAGUCGAGUUGUUUGGGAAUGCAGCUCUAAGUGGGAGGUAAAUUCCUUCUAAAGCUAAAUAUUGGCGAGAGACCGAUAGCGAACAAGUACUGUGAAGGAAAGAUGAAAAGCACUUUGAAAAGAGAGUGAAAAAGUACGUGAAAUUGUUAAAAGGGAAGGGUAUUGAAUCAGACUUGGUGCUGUUGUUCAACUGUGUUUUGGCACAGUGUACUCAGCAGUACUAGGCCAAGGUGGGGUGUUUGGGAGUGAAAAAGAAGUUGGAACGUAACUCUUCGGAGUGUUAUAGCCUACUUUCAUAGCUCCUCAGGCGCCUCAGGACUGCGCUUCGGCAAGGACCUUGGCAUAAUGAUUCUAUACCGCCCGUCUUGAAACACGGACCAAGGGGCCGUCUUGAAACACGGACCAAGGAG